GUGUUCAAGGGGUUGGAUGGGGCUUGGAGGAAAUUGGUCUGGUGGAAGGUGUCCCUGCCCACGGCAAGAGAGAGUGGAAUGAGGUGUUCUUUAAAGUGCCUUCCAGCCCAAAACAUUCUAUGUUUCUAUAAGUACUCCAAACCAGUAAGUUCCAGGGACACUUGCCAGUAACAUGGCACUUGUUAAGAGGUGGGGGGGUUGUGAAAGUUUUUUGCUAGACUAGUAAAGCUUAAAUGAAGGGAAUUAUAUCUCUCAUUGCUAUAUCCCUCAAGGACAGAGAGGGGGUUGGAGAUAACCUUCAGGGAAGGCAGAGGGCAGGAUUGCACUGACCCCAAAGGAUGCUGGAUGUGGUCCCUGAAGCCGUGGCUGCCGUGAUGCCUCGUUGCUGCGGGGAGCAGAGCUGCUGCAGAAGGAAAGAGGUUUGGUUCUCGGUUCUCCUGUGUCCAGAAAGGGAGAGCGGAGAGCGCAGAGCUGAGUCGGAUCGGGCUCCCUACCCCAACAGGGUGACCUGAUAAAUUGCCACCAGUCAGCUGAACCUCAGUAACGGCCUCUCGGCUCGCAGCUAAAAUUAGCUGAAAUGGCAUGAAGAGAAUUGCUGAAACCUCCACGAAAGUGAUUUAAGCCGAAGCACGUGACCUCGCAUUUGUCACGGGCCGGAGCACGCGCAGGCUGCUGGCACAGCGCAGGUGAUGUGCAGGAGCAUGUUAAGACGAGGAGUCUCAAUCCGAAAAAACCUAUUUGUGAAGCUGGAUAUCCAGAGCAAUAGUAGCUUUGGUGGCUGAACCCCAGGUGGUUUUCUGUUGAUUCAGAACUUCAGCAAGUCCUACUAAUUGCAAGUCCUACCCUUGCAGUGAAGCUUUGCCUCACUCACCAUUUGCAGGCUUCAAGAUUUGGGUACUGUUACCUGUCAUUUCUGCUUCUAAAAGGACUCUGGAGACUGGGAGUUUGGGAGCGUUCUUCUAACCCCUUGGGAUUUUGUGCAUAUGUGUUAUCCUUUCUACAAAAGAAUCAAGCUGGUGGUCAGGCCCCAAAAUGCUCGAGUAUUUAUUUAAAAGUAAAAUAAAAAGCUGCAGCAAAUAGGGGUCGAUGUCUUAAGGGCUGGGAGAAAAAGAGGGAAGAAUGGGUGUGUCCAUGUGUUACACAUCUACAGGUUCAUGUGGCGUCCCACAAGGUGAAGGAAAGUUGGUAGCAUAUGCCUGUGGUUAUUGUGUUUGCUUCUCAGUUAUCAUACGAGGCCUAAAUUAAGAUGUCAAUAAAAUAUUCCAUGAUGGGCACAUUAAGACAGCCCUGCCUUGUGUUUUACGAAAUGAUUCGAGGAGCAGAGGAAGUGGGUUGUUGCAUCUGGCACACCCUGAUGAACCCUGGAGAGGAUGCUUUGCCCCAGUUUUCAGAGGGAGAUGCUCGAAGUUGCCCAGCUCUGCUCCUGCCUUGCUACCCAGGCACUAAAGGUCAGAGGAAACACUGGUGGUGACUCAGUUCCUUGGAAAAUUAUCUUGCUUAUUUAUGUGAUGGCGAGGGAGAAGUUUGUGUUUAGAAGUCAGUGAAUAAACGUAUUAGAAAACAAAGACUCAAACCAAUGUUCAUUAUUUUCUGAAAAGCAAAUGCAGUUCUUGGCUUUCAUUUACUGCAGAAGCAUUUAAGAGAUUUUCCUAGCAGAGAUCAGAGCUACAGCUAGUGAAACCCUGUAAGAAAGAGUCCGUGCCUCAGGCAGGAGACACAGUGCAAGGGAAACAGAAGCAGUGACUGGUAUUUGAGCACGUUUACAGGAGCCAAAAAGCAGAGCUGGGACCGCAGGGCCAGCCCUGGAAACCUCAGGCCAUAGAACCGACCUCCUUCCUCCCACAGCAAUGCUCUUAACAUUGACCAAGACAGGAUCGUUCAUGUGUUGCCCCUGGAGUCAGUGGCUGAAAAGCUCUUUAUGAGGCAGCAGAAACACAAUGGGCUAUUAUUUUUAGGCUAGAGCCAUUCACACAUUUUCUCUGCAAAGCGAGUACCCUCUCUCUUUGUUGUGUUUAGUUGUUUGUGCUGCCUACUAUUCCCUGCCUAUCCAGCAUCUAGCAAAAUGAGAUGCUGAUCUUGUCUGGGGAGGUAAAAUAUUGCAAAUUACCCUCAUCUGGAAACCCUUUGGGUUUGAACCUGAGCGCUGCACUUGUGCUGUAGCUCCGUGUCCAAACCGGUGGAGCUAAUGACCUGAGACUGCAGGGAAGUUUGGACACAGGCUGCAGCUCCGUCUCCCGGUAAUGCUCUCCUCAGUGGAUUAGAAGAAGCUUCCCUGGCAAACUGGGAAGGAGUCCAAGCUGGGGAGCUGGUGUGAUAGGAACUGACAGGGCUGGAAAUUUGAUUUCUGACUCUUUGUGCGUGUAUUUCUUAUGAAAGAAGAAGAGGGAGAGGGAGCCAGGAGUACUUUGAAUCCUGCAAUCAUUAAAACCAAUUCCACUUUUCCUGCCCCUGCCCACCUCCUGAUAUGUGUGUGAAACAAUCUUUACAGCUACACAGCCAUCAGAUGGUAUCGACCCGGCGGUGGAAAUUGCUAUUGACUGCUGCUGGUGCUGCUCUCUGCACUUCCGUGGCUUUUAAAGCGACACUCUUCAGGUGAUUUCAGUUUGCACUUGAUACAGCCUGGGAAGCACUACCUGAAACGGGAUGGGAAGAGCAUGUGUGGGAUUUGUGUAUGCAACAAACACUGUCACUCUCCUUUAGUCAGGGGAAGGGUGUUUGAGCAUGUGGGAAGAGAUGCUUCUGCAGAAUCAUUCAUCUAAUAGGAAGAUUCAGAAAUUUGAAUUUUUUUUUUCUUUAGUCCAUCAUGAAAUGAUUCUUGUCUCCCACUACAGUUUUCUCCUACUGCAAUUCCAGCACCAAGCCAGGACCAUUCUUCUACCCGUAUGAAGAAUCCAUCCAGUCCUACAUCAGCUGAGGACUAGAUACAUUGAUUUCUUGUUUUAAGGGGCACCUCUUAUUCCAUAUUAUGAAUUCUCUCUCAUCUGCUUUAGGUUCCAAAGAAAAAAAGUCAGGAAGCAAUAAUAUUUGCCUUUGAUGCAAGUGUUUCGUGCAUCUUAAAAACCCUUUUGAUCAUGUAUGAGAACAGGGCUCUGUCUUAGGACUGUAAAAAUGCACAUUUUGUUUCCUCCAAGGCAAUUUAAUUGAUGGUAUUGGGUUAUUCCAGUGCUUGGGUUUGGAGUUAAGUGGUGGUGAGGGGAGAUGAUAAAAAAGCUGUGUAAAAGCCAGGGCUAGAGUCUGACCCCAGCUCCACAGAGUAAAUUUAGUGCAAUGCCAUUCUCAUGAUGCUGGUGGUCACUUGGGUUUCUGUGCAGUGAAGGUCCCUGUCCUACCUGCAGUGAAGACCUGGCAGAUGCUGUCUUCUUCCAGAGCAGGCUGUGAUGGUGCAUUCUCCCAGGGACUGUUUUCUUCUGGGAUGUUUCUCCAGGGCUGACGGCAGCACUGUGGCCUCCAGUCCACAUGCAGUCCACCUACCAAGCACUGGCUUGAAGAAGGAUGAACAUGCUUUGGGAAGUGACAUUUGUCUGGUCAAGGAGUAAAGCAGGGAGCACCCUGCUGUGGUCUGACCUGUGCUCCAGACCAGGCAAAGCUCCUGCCUCUCUUUUACCAGCAGGUUGGAGGUGCUGUUAUCAAAAGAAUGGAUGUUGCUCUUUCUCAUAGAGCUCUGCCUUUCUUCCUCUUCCAGACUCGUGCCUUUGACUUCAGCCACAUGAUAGUGCCCAGGAGCAGAGGCUGCCCAGAUGUGUCCAGAGUGCAUGUGCAAGGACUACCCUUUUUUGUUAUCUGGAACAGUGACUGCCUAAAGCUUCUGAGCCAGCCCCUUAGCUCGAACACAAAUAACCACUGCUAUUAGCUCUGAGCAGUCCCUGACAGCCUUGAUUUCAGGUCACAAGACUGGCAGGCUGCUGAGGUGUCAGGAGACAUGCCUGGUAUUUCCAAACUCUCCAACCCAAGCCCUGGGAACUGCUCUGUUGGUUUACACUGAGCCUUGGUGUUCGUGGGGUGAGUCUGACCCUUCUCAGCCUGGCUCUGUCUCAGCUGAAUGGGAGGAAGAAGUGGAAAUAGAAAGGGUUGGAUGUGGAGAGCAUGUCUUGGUGGGAUGGUUUGCAUACCCAGCCCCCAGCACUGAGCAGGCUGGGAAGGGAGAUGGAGCAGGGCUGGGAGAUAGGGUUAACUGAGAGUCAGCAGACUGCUGUGGGCAGAGCUGAGGCAGUAAGAAGCCUGGCCUAGGGGUGGUUUGACGUGCCAAACACUGCCCUGCAUGCUUGGGACAGAGCUCUGAGAAGAAGGUACAGAAUAUCUCUGGGUGAGCAUAUGGCUUCUUUUGCAUCUGCUGCCCACCCCUGGGAUGGUCACAGGUCAGGCAUGUCAGUUGUGAGGGGGGCUGAUGACUAUAAAAACCUCCUCUUGCCUGUGGCUUCUUUUGCCUCUUCUCUCUUUCCCUUCUGUUUAUGGCAGUAUGCAUCUCCCAGCACACCGCUCCCGUUUCUCUCCUCCCACUACAUCCCCAUUUGGCUACUGGAGGCCAAACACUGCCUGUUCCAUGGGGACAGUAGGGACCUGGGAUGACUUUUCUCCUCACUCCUCCUUGGGCUCUGCCACUGUCUUUCUCUCUGGUCUAAUUCUUGUAUCACUCCAGAACUAGACUAUCCAACUGGGGAAAGAACAAUUAUCUGGAAGAAGGGGCUGAAAGCCUGGAACACAGGAGGAGUUUCAGCUCUUUUAUUUGAGGCCAGAGCAAUGUGAGCCAAGUGGGGUCUUUCCAGCCUGGACCUUGAAAUCUGGGGUCCCACUCAGGACUUGUAAAAAUUAGAAAGCCAGGUCUUUACUCUGAGUUAAAUCGGUACUUCUUCAAAUGAGAUUUAUUAAUUUACAUCGUUUGAGGACCUUACCCAGCAUGAGACUGGGGGAAAAGCAGCAUGUUAGAGUUGCUGGUAGCUUUUUGAGUGUUAUAUGUCCUUUUAUCUUCCCCAUUGCAGGACCACAGCACCCCCAUCUUUUUUCCAGCCCUCUGGCAAAUGUCUUCUGUCCCCAUCCCUUGGACACCUUGACUUUUUGGUUCAUUAAAUAGAGGUGGCAAAGGUUGAAGCUGCUGGUAAAUAGGCCAGUGUGGGAGGCUGAAGGCUCCUUGCAGAGCAAUAUUCAACAGCUCCACCUCUGCCUCAACAGGAUCUUCUUCCAAAGCCCCAAUCCAAGUGAACAUGGCUUUCCCUUCUCAGGGCUGUGGCUUUCCCUCUGCAGCCAGUGCUGAGCUGAUGGGGCCAGUGGACCACGCACAGAAUGUGAGUGUAGGUGGCUUUGAGCACACUGUGAGAUGCAAACAGUGUUUGUUCUGCAGGCUCCACUCUGGUUCAGAGACAGUGGCAACCUGUCCUUUCUGGCUUCCCCUUUGGAGAACUGUGCCUAGCAACUUGCUCCCCUAGCCCACCUCCCAGCUCCUCAUGUCCCAUAGUAGUCAGGUGCUGCUGGAAUGUGCAUGUGCCCUUAUCAAACAAGCAGCCCUUGAUAGUUUCUCUUUCUUCUGGGCUUAACCUGCCUAAGUCUUUUUGGGGCGAGAUACGAUAUGCGACUUGACAGCAAUUCGAGGUGAGAUUUUUUUCCUCCUGGGAAAGCGUGGUAAGAAAUUAAGCUUUGCAGGUUUUCUGCCCAGUGGACCAAGGAAAGAAAAGUCCUUGGUGAACUUGGGCUGGGUCUGGGGACAGGAGAGCUGCUGCUGUGAUUUGUGGCUAUUCUCUCUGCAGCACUGCCUCCGUACUCACAAGUGAGAGGCAAGUGGUUUUGACACCUCUUUAUGACCCGGGAGCCACAGGGAAGUGGUGGUGACUUGUGUUCUGGAAAGACAAGGUCAUCGACAAGGGUGGUGCAAACAUCUUUGGUUCGUCUGACCCUACUAGAAUCCAAAUAUUUUCAAUUCAUAGGAAUUAAAGUGAACAUCAUAGUUUUAGGCUAGUGGCUAAAUCUGGGUGCCUCCCAAGGUGGUGUACAAUAUAGGGAUAUUAUGGGGAAAGCUGUUGAUAAGAGCAACAGUGAAAAUGGAUGUCUGGUUUCAAGCCUAUCUGUCCUACAACCUUCAGGGCCUGCCAGGGGACGUGUUUCCUGGGCUGUGAAAAACCAAUAUGGGACACAAUCAUAUAUCAGUGAUUAUAUCGAUCAUUGUCUCAGACCCAUUCAGUCCAAGGACACCAGCACCUUUUGGAGAGGAAGUGUUGCUCCUGCUCUGGGAGUCUGGGGAAGGUGUUGAAUGCAUGGCAGUGAUGCUGUGCAAGGGGAAGUGACUCCCCUUUAGGGAAUGCUGGGUCCAUACUUGAACCAAUUAGUAGAAUGGAGCUGAGCAAAGUACAGAAGGGAUCAGACUGAUAAUAAGCAAAAUGCUCAAAUAUGGGAAGUUGGGGAAGAAGCCAAAUGAAAAUGAAAUGAAAGGCUAAGGUCCAACUUCAGCAGUUGUGCAGAAAGGAUGGGACAGCUGAUAAUAGGAAAGCCUGCAGGAACAAUGGGUCAAACCCCUACGCAAGAGACUGAAGGAAUCUGUGAACAAGCCAAGUGGGGGUGGGGGGAUUUUAUCGAAAAGCAUUUCAGCAAAUUAAAGCUGUUGGCUUGCUUACCACCAUCAAGACCUAAGUCCCUCACUGUGACCUCAUUGCUCAGUGCUUUGUGGGGAUGGCCAGUUGAGAAGUGCAUGGGUUAGUGAGGUUCUGUCUCAGAGGAGCAGCAAGGGUCUUCUUGGCACACCUUUGCAUGGAGGGAAUGCUUCCCACCAACUUUACUGCUGUGGAAGGGCCGACAGCAUUUGCUCUAUCCCUUAAUUCAGAGCUGGUGAGAAUUGUCUUUGGGGAUAACCUUAAACUCCUCUUUUAUGAAGGUGAAAUCAGAAACCCGUAGCUGAGCCUCUUCCUUGGCAGUCUUUCCUAGUCUUGGAAACCCAUGGAAGACUCAAGAGACGAAAACCAACUUCUGACUGCAGACGAGCUCCAUAAAGACCACUCGAAGGUAGAUGAUGUGAUGAAAAACAUCCCAAAAACUGUAAGUCUGGACCUAAGAAAAUUAUUUUCUUACAAAGAAAGUAAUUCUAGAUCCCUCUAGUUCACAUGAGGCAGCGGGGAUUCCUUUCACAGACACGUUGAUUAAGGUAGGCAUUACAUGAUCACUUCGGCUCUUGCUAGCGGAGGUAAGGCUCCUCUUUUUCUUGGCUCUCCAUAUCCCCAUGUGUACAAAAAGAAUAGGGAUAUAACUUCAUGGUAAAUCUUCUGAAAAUGGACUUGCUACGAAAGACAGCCCAUCCUGCUAGCGGUGAAGAGGUCCCAUUUGGAGGCUUGACUUGUGAGAUCUCAUGGAGAAUCUAUGGAAUACAGCCAUGAGUUUGUACCUCUAAUGUGGCUUUCUCUUUAUAAAAGUACUGCACGGAAUGUGAGACUCACUAGAUAAAAGUGAAUUUAACAGCUAUUUUGUAUCCUUUGAGGAACAUCAGUGCCAGUUGAAAGAGGGGAAAAAAACCUUUUUGUUGAGUCUGGAAUGGACCUGCUUUUAUUGAAGGACUCUACAACUGCUUUUGUUGCUAUUUCCGCUGAUAGCUUUUACCUGACUUGUUUUCAAAAUCCUUGUUGAAUUUUUUUUUCUGUCCGCAAAAAACUGCAUUUCCUUGCUGAAAUUCAAGUUGGGGGCCUGGAAAAACGUCCUAAAUGAUUUUGCAGAUGGCUUGUUCUGAUGUAGAACUCUCAGAAAUAGGGCAUUCUGUAAGAGAAGUCACCUGUUUAUUUCCAGGAGGGUAGACAAUUUAUUUUAAACAAUGCCAUUUUCUUUUCAAUUAUAGACGCUUUUGUGGAAAAAAAAUUCCAACAGUCUCUAAGAAAGAGCACGUGAUCACAAUUAAAGGAUGUGCUGUGCUGUAUCAGAAGGUAGCAUUUAAACCAGGGAAAGCCUGAAUAUUGGCUAUAACUCAUCGUAAUUAUACCAUCUAUUUCAAACAUGUAAAUAUGUUUGGUAGCACUUACAUGUUUAUGUCAGCUAUUGGGAAAAGACGUUUUUCUUUUUGGUAAACUUCUGAUGGUAAGAAUUUUGUUCCUUGCAUUUGAAUAAAUAACAAACAAGCUUA